rnacentral:lncRNA from 1 species
AUAUGAGGCUGAUGAACACAGAUUUGUCCUACAUAUGAUCAAAUACCAAAAAAAGUGGAUCCAAGUAUAGUUUACUCAUGUGUGAUUGGGCCUUUGUUUAAUCAGAAUAUUAUGCACAAGCGACCAAUAGUAAGGGCUAACAUUGUCCUUUAUGUCAAAUAAGUGCCCAGCCCCCUUAUUAAUAGAAUAAAGAUGCUGCAGGGUUUGAACUAAAAAGAAUUAUCCAGCUCCAACAUUGACAUCAAGUCUUUGAUUGUGUCGAAUUCCUUGAUCGAUAAUCUUUGAGCAAGUGAUGAGCUUAACGUUAAACUAAAGAAGCUAGAUGGCCAGUUCAGAGAACCAUGUUAUUGUUAAAACAAUCUAAGAUAAUGCAACCAUUUAAAGCAACACUAAAAAUCCCAAAGGCUCUAACAGCCUUUCAAAAAAGAAGAAAGAAUCAGAGGCAUGAUAUAUGCUAUUACAUUCAUAUUUGGGUCACAAUUUAUAAGUCAGAGCAACAAACUGAAAAACAUUUAUUACUAGUUUGUCAUACUGGUUGAUUGAAAAGAUAAUAGUAGAUCAGAAAAGUUAGACAGUCACUUCUAGCUUUUCCUGCAGGCUUCCCCCACCCAGUGAAGCCAUCUCAUUA